rnacentral:rRNA from 1 species
GAGUUUGAUCCUGGCUCACAUUGAACGCUGGCGGCAUGCCUUACACAUGCAAGUCGAACGGCAGCACGGGAGCAAUCCUGGUGGCGAGUGGCGAACGGGUGAGUAAUAUAUCGGAACGUGCCCAGUCGUGGGGGAUAACGCAGCGAAAGCUGUGCUAAUACCGCAUACGAUCUCUGGAUGAAAGCGGGGGACCUGCAAGGGCCUCGCGCGAUUGGAGCGGCCGAUAUCAGAUUAGCUAGUUGGUGGGGUAAAAGCUCACCAAGGCGACGAUCUGUAGCUGGUCUGAGAGGACGACCAGCCACACUGGAACUGAGACACGGUCCAGACUCCUACGGGAGGCAGCAGUGGGGAAUUUUGGACAAUGGGCGCAAGCCUGAUCCAGCAAUGCCGCGUGCAGGAUGAAGGCCUUCGGGUUGUAAACUGCUUUUG